AUCCCUGCAAAGCUAUGGAGACAUAGUGGAGGGUUAUUCAGGGAGACAGGUGGUGCAUGGUUGUCGUCAGCUCGUGUCGUGAGAUGUUGGUUAAGUCCGCAACGAGCGCAACCCUUAUUGCUAGUUACCAUCAUUAAGUUGGGGGACUCUAGCGAGACUGCCAGUGAUAAACUGGAGGAAGGUGGGGAUGACGUCAAAUCAUCAUGCCCCUUAUGACCUGGGCUACAAACGUGAUACAAUGGCUGAAACAAAGGGCAGCGAAGGAGCGAUCUGGAGCGAAACCCAAAAGCAGUCUCAGUUCGGAUUGAAGUCUGCAACUCGACUUCAUGAAGUCGGAAUCGCUAGUAAUCGCGGAUCAGAACGCCGCGGUGAAUACGUUCUCGGGUUU
rnacentral:rRNA from 1 species